GGGAUAUUGCACAAUGGGGGGAACCCUGAUGCAGCGACGCCGCGUGGGCGAUGGAGUGCUUCGGCAUGUAAAGCCCUAUCAGCAGGGAAGAAAAUGACGGUACCUGACUAAGAAGCCCCGGCUAAAUCCGUGCCAGCAGCCGCGGUAAUACGUAUGGGGCAAGCGUUAUCCGGAUUUAUUGGGUUUAAAGGGUGCGUAGGCUGUGAGGUAAGUCAGCGGUGAAAUGCCCCCGCUCAACGGGGUGAAGUGCCAUUGAUACUGCCUUGCUGGAAUGCGGAUGCCGUGGGAGGAAUGUGUGGUGUAGCGGUGAAAUGCAUAGAUAUCACACAGAACACCGAUUGCGAAGGCAUCUCACGAAUCCGCGAUUGACGCUGAUGCACGAAAGCGUGGGUAUCAAACAG
rnacentral:rRNA from 1 species